ACUGCAGCAGUAGCUGUUGCGACAGGUUCAACGUAACAAUGAAAAGUGCAGAAGCCACGUGCAUAAUGGCAAUUGGGGUUGGUUGCAUGGGGGGGCGAUCCGCUUACCUAUAAGAAGCAUCCUAAGAACGUCAAGACUUCGAGAUUAUAUGCGAAUGUGUGUGCUGCCUGCCUUCCAUUUCGAAGUCUGUAGCACUGAGGCAUGAUAUGGAAAAUAUGGACUAUUAUUAACUAUCGAAAAUGUACCGUACCUUUAAUUAGAACUAAUAUUCUAUAUUCUGGCGACAA